UCUCUUUUCAGACCCCAGCCGGGGUUCAUUGAUGGACUUGACAGCCCUACGAAAUGUGCAGCCAAACAGGGCAUGCUGGAUGCAUCCACAAAGCAGUGACCAAAUUAAGAUGAUAAAAAAUGCUUUAAAUGAAAAGGAAUCACAACAACAAUUUUUGGCUCAAGUAGGAGCAACAAUUCUGGACAGAUCAGAUUUUAUUACCUUGGGCCAUCCAAAUGAUGUUGAAGGGACUAACAUAAAGGUCCAUUGUUUUAGCUCAUAUGUGACAGUGACAUGGUUGCCACCAUUCUGUGCAGACCC